rnacentral:rRNA from 1 species
AACGAACGCUGUCGGCAUGCCUAACACAUGCAAGUCGAACGAGACCUUCGGGUCUAGUGGCGCACGGGUGCGUAACGCGUGGGAACCUGCCCUUAGGUUCGGAAGAACUCCCCGAAAGGGGUGCUAAUACCGGCUAAUGUCUUGCGACCAAAGAUUUAUCGCCUUUGGAUGGGCCCGCGUUGGAUUAGCUAGUUGGUAGGGUAAAAGCCUACCAAGGCGACGAUCCAUAGCUGGUCUGAGAGGAUGAUCAGCCACACUGGGACUGAGACACGGCCCAGACUCCUACGGGAGGCAGCAGUGGGGAAUAUUGGACAAUGGGCGAAAGCCUGAUCCAGCAAUGCCGCGUGAGUGAUGAAGGCCUUAGGGUUGUAAAGCUCUUUUACCCGGGAUGAUAAUGACAGUACCGGGAGAAUAAGCUCCGGCUAACUCCGUG